AUCAACUUUCGAUGGUAGGAUAGAGGCGUACCAUGGUGGUAACGGGUAACGGGGAAUUAGGGUUCGAUUCCGGAGAGGGAGCCUGAGAAACGGCUACCACAUCCAAGGAAGGCAGCAGGCGCGCAAAUUACCCAAUCCCGACACGGGGAGGUAGUGACAAUAAAUAACAAUACGGGGCUCUUUCGGGUCUCGUAAUUGGAAUGAGUACAAUUUAAAUCCCUUAACGAGGAACAAUUGGAGGGCAAGUCUGGUGCCAGCAGCCGCGGUAAUUCCAGCUCCAAUAGCGUAUAUUAAAGUUGUUGCAGUUAAAAAGCUCGUAGUUGAAUUUCGGGAUUGGCGCAUCGGUCGUGCCUCACGGGGUAUGAACUGGUGCAGUCAAUUUCUCACCUUCUGGAGAACCGCGAUGUCCUUAAUUGGAUGCCGCGGGGAACCAGGACCUUUACUUUGAAAAAAUUAGAGUGUUUAAAGCAGGCAUUUUUGCUUGAAUACAUUAGCAUGGAAUAAUAAAAUAGGACGGCAUGGUUCUAUUUUGUUGGUUUCUAGGACCACCGUAAUGAUUAAUAGGGAUAGUUGGGGGCAUUAGUAUUCAAUUGUCAGAGGUGAAAUUCUUGGAUUUAUUGAAGACUAACUACUGCGAAAGCAUUUGCCAAGGAUGUUUUCAUUAAUCAAGAACGAAAGUUAGGGGAUCGAAGACGAUCAGAUACCGUCGUAGUCUUAACCAUAAACUAUGCCGACUAGGAAUCAGACGAUGUUAAUUUUUUAAUGACUCGUUUGGCACCUUACGGGAAACCAAAGUGUUUGGGUUC
rnacentral:rRNA from 1 species